AACCAAAGCCAGAUUAAUUUGUCU
rnacentral:siRNA from 1 species